ensembl:lncRNA
GGGAUGGGGUGGGGGGUGCAGAGAAGAGAGCGUUGGACUCCACUAUACUUCCCCUAACUGCCUCUUCACCAGCUUGCUGCCCAUCUCCCUUCCUCGGCUUCCUGUUCACAAAGCUGAAUUACAAGAACUAGGAUGAGGUUCAGUUCUUUUUCUAGGCUUCAAGAAACUCCCUUUUAAAACUUCAUGAUUAUGAUCAGAAAAGGGAAAGUUAUAGUACCUACUUUAGGAGAAUGCAGCCACAUUGCUCUUCAUUUUUUUGGUUGCACGAGGCAGGAGAAGGAAACUUUUUUGUCCUACGUCAUUGUUCUUAGGAGCAUCUCACAGAAGCAGACCUACCCUUGAACUGAUCCCUCAUCUCAAAACGUGGGUGUAAUAUAAACGCACCCCUGACAAAGCAAGACGUUAGGGGGAAAAAGCAACAGCUUACGCAAUACCACAGUGCAAGGGAAGGCGGAGCUUCUCAGUAUUUGCAGACAUGUUAUUAAAUUCUAAUUCUGGCAAACAAUAAAGAGGAAAACAGAAAGAGGCUUUCAACUGGAUGGUAAAAUGCAGUUUGCGUGACACCGUUGACCGUCAACGACAGGAUGCCUUCUUUCACUCACCUCCCAAACAAGUACUACGGAUCCGAUACUCAGGAAGCAUAACAUUCAAACUUUGCUUUCAAGCUAGUAUAAGGAAACGUGCAGCCAGCCCAGACCCUCAGGCCUGCGCAUCAAGAUGGCAGGCUGGCCAAGGGUCCUCUGGGGACAGCAGUGCCAGAAGGAGGAUUGGACACGGUGACCCGUCUGCAUGAGAUGAGGAAAAAAACAACAACAACCAACAACCAGGAGGUCUGUAAUACUGAUGAACUAAUCUGUCACUCACCAGCUCAGGUCUGCAAAAAAGAAAAAAAAAAUGCAGUAAACAUUUAAUGACCAUGAGAGGUGGAAAUAAGAGUCUUCGUUUUUACAUGAUAUGCAAACCCAUGGCUCAGAACCUGCUUAACUGUUUAAUUUGAGUUGAUUUGAAAAAUCAUCAGAAGGCAAGAAUCCACCCUAUAGUUCAAAGGGCUAGGAAGUGUGCUACAGAUAACUAUCAAAAAUCCAGUUGAUUUCCAAGAAUUAUAUGAAUGAACCAAGUUUCUUGAUCUCGAUAUCCUAGGCAGGGAGUUUGUUCUUAAGUACUAGACUGCUUAAUUGCUUGCUUGGGGGAGAGAAAAUCCUGGGGGAAAGACAUUUAUGAGCAAUAUCUGCUCUAUGGAGCCAGUACACUCUCCCGAGCUGGAUCAUGGCCAGCAACACAGAAAAGUCUACUCUUCCUCUCCAGUGGAAGCAAGUGGAUAUUUGAUCUUAGAGAUGAAUGAAAAACCUAAAGAUCAUAUUUCGUGGGAAUCUUUCAGUAUUCUGAAUGGAAAAUAUCACUGAAAAUUGGUUAUUUGCUCCUCUAACCCAAAUCCACUUAGGAACAAAACUAAGAAGGAGGAGUUGUGGGGGUGGAGGACAGAAAUAAUUAUCAUUCCAAUAUGUAUAUGAGGAGGAACACAAACUAACAUUUGCAUUAUCAAAUGGGGUUGUUCACACAGGCUAAGUAGGUAUAAAAGGAUACUGAAAUUACCAGCUGCAAACACACACACACACAAACAACAAAAAACCCAACCAUUUACUUUUGAUUAUGAUUGAAAAGCAGUAAAAAUUAUUUUCACAUUCUCAUCAUUGUUAGAAGUAGUCAUUCGGGUAAAUAUAUUUAUCUGUGCUAAAACAGUUUAAAAGAAAUCAUUUCAAAUACCCAUGCCAUCUUCUGUUUUAUAUCUAUAGAUAGGGGCUCCACUGAGGUUUUCUGACUUUUAUGAUAUGCAUACAGGGCAGUAAGCUACUACUUCUCUUUCCUUUUUGCAGACCAGUGUUUCAGUUUCAGAAGGAGUAAGCAUUUUAGUUUGUACAUUUUUAAUACAGAAAAUGUGUACAACCUUCAGAACAACUGCUUUGAUAAUUUGCUACCUUGCCAAAAGUAUCUGGGUUUUUUCAAAAGCAAAUAAUUUAUGAGAAAUGGAAUCUUCAGAAAACAUGUGGCUACUUUGGUGCAACUAUUUAGAAAGUAUCUGUAACAAGUCAUUAACAUGUAUCAUUCCUGGACAUAUUGAGUCUUUAAAAAUUAGAGCACAUACAAAAUACCAAGCUAAGAAAUAAUAACCACCAAUUUUAACUCCUGACAAAUUAGAUGUUUAAGUCUAGUAUCUGUAAAAUGCACACCAAUUCCCUUCUUUAAAGUACAUAUUUGAACCUUUUAAAAGUAUAUGCCUUUGCAAUUAUUUCCAAUAAACAAUAUUGAAU